UACGUAGGGGGCAAGCGUUGUCCGGAUUUAUUGGGCGUAAAGAGCUCGUAGGCGGUUGGGCAAGUCACGUGUGAAAUCUCCACGCUCAACGUGGAGGCGCCACGUGAGACUGCCCUGACUCGAGUCCGGUAGGGGAGCGUGGAAUUCCCGGUGUAGCGGUGAAAUGCGCAGAUAUCAGGAGGAACACCGGUGGCGAAGGCGCCACUCUGGGCCGGUACUGACGCUGAGGAGCGAAAGCGUGGGUAGCAAACAGG
rnacentral:rRNA from 1 species